rnacentral:rRNA from 1 species
UACGAAGGGGGCUAGCGUUGCUCGGAAUCACUGGGCGUAAAGCGCACGUAGGCGGCUUUCUAAGUCAGGGGUGAAAUCCUGGAGCUCAACUCCAGAACUGCCUUUGAUACUGGAGAGCUUGAGUCCGGGAGAGGUGAGUGGAACUCCGAGUGUAGAGGUGAAAUUCGUAGAUAUUAGGAAGAACACCGGUGGCGAAGGCGGCCCACUGGAUCGGUACUGACGCUGAGGUGCGAAAGCGUGGGGAGCAAACAGG